rnacentral:rRNA from 1 species
GACGAACGCUGGCGGCGUGCUUAACACAUGCAAGUCGAACGGAAAGGCCCUGCUUUUGUGGGGUGCUCGAGUGGCGAACGGGUGAGUAACACGUGAGUAACCUGCCCUUGACUUUGGGAUAACUUCAGGAAACUGGGGCUAAUACCGGAUAGGAGCUCCUGCUGCAUGGUGGGGGUUGGAAAGUUUCGGCGGUUGGGGAUGGACUCGCGGCUUAUCAGCUUGUUGGUGGGGUAGUGGCUUACCAAGGCUUUGACGGGUAGCCGGCCUGAGAGGGUGACCGGCCACAUUGGGACUGAGAUACGGCCCAGACUCCUACGGGAGGCAGCAGUGGGGAAUAUUGCACAAUGGGCGGAAGCCUGAUGCAGCAACGCCGCGUGCGGGAUGACGGCCUUCGGGUUGUAAACCGCUUUCGCCUGUGACGAAGCGUGAGUGACGGUAAUGGGUAAAGAAGCACCGGCUAACUACGUGCCAGCAGCCGCGGUGAUACGUAGGGUGCGAGCGUUGUCCGGAUUUAUUGGGCGUAAAGGGCUCGUAGGUGGUUGAUCGCGUCGGAAGUGUAAUCUUGGGGCUUAACCCUGAGCGUGCUUUCGAUACGGGUUGACUUGAGGAAGGUAGGGGAGAAUGGAAUUCCUGGUGGAGCGGUGGAAUGCGCAGAUAUCAGGAGGAACACCAGUGGCGAAGGCGGUUCUCUGGGCCUUUCCUGACGCUGAGGAGCGAAAGCGUGGGGAGCGAACAGGCUUAGAUACCCUGGUAGUCCACGCUGUAAACGGUGGGUACCUAGGUGUGGGGUCCAUUCCACGGGUUCCGUGCCGUAGCUAACGCUUUAAGUACCCCGCCUGGGGAGUACGGCCGCAAGGCUAAAACUCAAAGGAAUUGACGGGGCCCCGCACAAGCGGCGGAGCAUGCGGAUUAAUUCGAUGCAACGCGUAGAACCUUACCUGGGUUUGACAUGGAUCGGGAGCGCUCAGAGAUGGGUGUGCCUCUUUUGGGGUCGGUUCACAGGUGGUGCAUGGCUGUCGUCAGCUCGUGUCGUGAGAUGUUGGGUUAAGUCCCGCAACGAGCGCAACCCUUGUUCACUGUUGCCAGCACGUUAUGGUGGGGACUCAGUGGAGACCGCCGGGGUCAACUCGGAGGAAGGUGGGGAUGACGACAAGUCAUCAUGCCCCUUAUGUCCAGGGCUUCACGCAUGCUACAAUGGCUGGUACAGAGAGUGGCGAGCCUGUGAGGGUGAGCGAAUCUCGGAAAGCCGGUCUCAGUUCGGAUUGGGGUCUGCAACUCGACCUCAUGAAGUCGGAGUCGCUAGUAAUCGCAGAUCAGCAACGCUGCGGUGAAUACGUUCCCGGGGCU